rnacentral:rRNA from 1 species
AGUGAACGCUGGCGGUAGGCCUAACACAUGCAAGUCGAACGGCAGCACAGUAAGAGCUUGCUCUUACGGGUGGCGAGUGGCGGACGGGUGAGGAAUACAUCGGAAUCUACUUUUUCGUGGGGGAUAACGUAGGGAAACUUACGCUAAUACCGCAUACGACCUACGGGUGAAAGCAGGGGAUCUUCGGACCUUGCGCGAUUGAAUGAGCCGAUGUCGGAUUAGCUAGUUGGCGGGGUAAAGGCCCACCAAGGCGACGAUCCGUAGCUGGUCUGAGAGGAGGAUCAGCCACACUGGAACUGAGACAGGGUCCAGACGCCUACGGGAGGCAGCAGUGGGGAAUAUUGGACAAUGGGCGCGAGCCUGAUCCAGCCAUACCGCGUGGGUGAAGAAGGCCUUCGGGUUGUAAAGCCCUUUUGUUGGGAAAGAAAAGCAGCAGGUUAAUACCCCGCUGUUCUGACGGUACCCAAAGAAUAAGCACCGGCUAACUUCGUG